rnacentral:rRNA from 1 species
AACGAACGCUGGCGGCAGGCUUAACACAUGCAAGUCGAGCGCCCCGCAAGGGGAGCGGCAGACGGGUGAGUAACGCGUGGGAAUCUACCGUGCCCUACGGAAUAGCUCCGGGAAACUGGAAUUAAUACCGUAUACGCCCUACGGGGGAAAGAUUUAUCGGGGUAUGAUGAGCCCGCGUUGGAUUAGCUAGUUGGUGGGGUAAUGGCCUACCAAGGCGACGAUCCAUAGCUGGUCUGAGAGGAUGAUCAGCCACAUUGGGACUGAGACACGGCCCAAACUCCUACGGGAGGCAGCAGUGGGGAAUAUUGGACAAUGGGCGAAAGCCUGAUCCAGCCAUGCCGCGUGAGUGAUGAAGGUCUUAGGAUUGUAAAGCUCUUUCACCGGUGAAGAUAAUGACGGUAACCGGAGAAGAAGCCCCGGCUAACUUCGUGCCAGCCGCCGCAGUAA